rnacentral:lncRNA from 10 species
CUCUAGGAACCCUCCAGGGAAACCCAAGCUUUAUUGGCCAUAAACCAGCCUCUGUGUAGGCAUAGGAAUCUCUAUCAGUUGGCAUCAAGCAAAGGGUGCUUCAGUCUGCAGUGUUGGUAUCAGCAGUGGCUAUCAGAACUCUACAACUCUCAGAGUAGUUUCUGCUACAGCUGAUCUGGCCAAGAAACCAGGCAAGUGGCCAAGGCCUGAAGAGGCAUGGUUGAAUUGAUCUGGAGUGGCAGGCUGUUUUCUGCACUUUACUACUUGCUAUGGUCUUCAGAGGCUUCCCUUACAGUUCAACUUUGACUCCGUAAACUCUAGCUUUUAGUUGAGUUUGGCCAAUGUCGACAGUAACAGGCAUACCUGGCUACAGCUGUGCUAAAGUAGUCAUCACCAAUGGGCUUGUUGCAUCUGCUGCCUUUGGAGCCUCUAUUUAGGUGUCUCUGAUCUUGUAAAAAGACAUCCUAGCUUACCUCAGUGUUCUGUACGGUUCUACUGGUUUUCUGCACGUCAUGAAAUGAAAAGUUUGGAAAUAGUGUAUACUAAGUGUUAGAAGUUUAGAAGAAGAGGGA